rnacentral:misc_RNA from 1 species
UAAUCGAUAUUCAUUAAACAACGGAGAUAAGAAGUGAGGUGAAAUAUCUAUUACGAUUACUAAAAUCAAUGUAGAUUUCAAUAGAUUUGUAGAAAUAUGUGUUCAGAAUAGAUAUUUAGUUAUUUUAGAAUUGUACAUUACUAAUUUUUUAAAAAAUUACCUAUUUUUUCCAUUGUUUCUUUAUGGACAAUUAUCAUAUUAGAUGAUUAUAGUUAAUACAUUUUUCAGGAUCAUAUUUAAUUAGAAUACUUAUAUUCGAAGAAGAAUGGCAAGAAAAAUACCUUUAGGAGAUUUUUUAGUGUUGGUCUCCGGUUUACACCUUUUGGUCAGCCGGCGCGUCUUUUCGCAGGAGGCGUCACUGUUCGCCUUCAAAUUGUCCACUCUCGUCAUCAGCUGAUUCACGCAUCCGCUCCACGUGCCCUUUUCGUACCGGCAAGCUAUAUUCCCCGCCGCACAGAGAUAAUCACAACGCCAUAAACUCCAUUAUUCACUCACGAUACAAGUUAAGGCGACAACGGUGCACAUCUCAUGUUACAACACGACACACGACCAUAGAUUCUCUUUUUUGUUUUUUACCAAUAUUUUAUUCAGUUUUCUUUUUUACACUUUUUUUGGAUGGUCUUGGUCUGCUCGCAGGACUUGUCUCCCUUUUUAAGGUUCAGUGUGCGGGACCGCGUGUUGGUUUUCGAGUCGCAUUCCGACCAUUGACCCUUCACGUAUCUGCACGACGAAGUGCUACCGGAUGCUGCGUCAACAGAUGCAAAACGUCAAUAGAGAUAAUUGGAGGCACGACCGAUCAAGUGGACAGAGAAAUUUCCGAACAGGAAAAUUAAUUACCACAUAAGAGUUUAGCCCUUUCCUUAAUGACCAUUCAAUAUAUUGCUCUAAGCAGAUUAACACGUUCACAAUUGUAGCUGUCUCUCCAUGGAAUACUUAUAAUUAUUUUCGGUUUCAAUUUCUAUUUUCAAGGAAAUGCUUCAGGCUCCAAGAUGUGUAAACAUCAUUUCAUUUUUUUCUCUAUAAUCUCAUUUCAAAAUCUAGUAAAAAAACUUUGAAAUACUAAUCUGUAUCUUAAAAAUUGAGCCGAAGUUUGAAAUAGUCAUAUUAAUUGUUAAUAUACAAUAACAUUUAUACAAUCAUCUUAGGUUUCAAAUAUAAAAUAUAAAAUGAAUUAUAAUUCA